rnacentral:rRNA from 4 species
AUGGUUAAGUUAGAAAGGGCGCACGGUGAAUGCCUUGGCACUAGGAGCCGAUGAAGGACGGGACUAACACCGAUAUGCUUCGGGGAGCUGUAAGUGAGCUUUGAUCCGGAGAUUUCCGAAUGGGGAAACCCACUGUUCGUAAUGGAACAGUAUCUUUAUCUGAAUACAUAGGAUAUUGAAGGCAGACCCGGGGAACUGAAACAUCUAAGUACCCGGAGGAAGAGAAAGCAAAUGCGAUUUCCUGAGUAGCGGCGAGCGAAACGGAAUUAGCCCAAACCAAGAGGCUUGCCUCUUGGGGUUGUAGGACACUCUAUACGGAGUUACAAAGGAACGAAGUAAAUGAAGCGACCUGGAAAGGUCCGUCGAAGAAGGUAACAACCCUGUAGUUGAAACUUCGUUCCCUCUUGAGUGGAUCCUGAGUACGGCGGAACACGUGAAAUUCCGUCGGAAGCUGGGAGGACCAUCUCCCAAGGCUAAAUACUACCUAGUGACCGAUAGUGAACCAGUACCGUGAGGGAAAGGUGAAAAGCACCCCGGAAGGGGAGUGAAAGAGAUCCUGAAACCGUGUGCCUACAAGUAGUCAGAGCCCGUUAACGGGUGAUGGCGUGCCUUUUGUAGAAUGAACCGGCGAGUUACGAUCCCAUGCAAGGUUAAGCUGAUAAGGCGGAGCCGUAGCGAAAGCGAGUCUGAAUAGGGCGUUUAGUAUGUGGUUGUAGACCCGAAACCAGGUGAUCUACCCAUGUCCAGGGUGAAGUUCAGGUAACACUGAAUGGAGGCCCGAACCCACGCACGUUGAAAAGUGCGGGGAUGAGGUGUGGGUAGCGGAGAAAUUCCAAUCGAACCUGGAGAUAGCUGGUUCUCUCCGAAAUAGCUUUAGGGCUAGCCUCAUGUUGUGAGAGUCUUGGAGGUAGAGCACUGAUUGGACUAGGGGCCCCCAACGGGUUACCGAAUUCAGUCAAACUCCGAAUGCCAAAGACUUAUCCAUGGGAGUCAGACUGCGAGUGAUAAGAUCCGUAGUCAAAAGGGAAACAGCCCAGACCACCAGCUAAGGUCCCCAAGUAUACGUUAAGUGGAAAAGGAUGUGGAGUUGCUUAGACAACCAGGAUGUUGGCUUAGAAGCAGCCACCAUUUAAAGAGUGCGUAAUAGCUCACUGGUCGAGUGACUCUGCGCCGAAAAUGUACCGGGGCUAAACGUAUCACCGAAGCUGUGGAUUGACAUCUUAGAUGUCAGUGGUAGGAGAGCGUUCUAAGUGCUGUGAAGUCAGACCGUAAGGACUGGUGGAGCGCUUAGAAGUGAGAAUGCCGGUAUGAGUAGCGAAAGACAAGUGAGAAUCUUGUCCACCGAAUGCCUAAGGUUUCCUGAGGAAGGCUCGUCCGCUCAGGGUUAGUCGGGACCUAAGCCGAGGCUGAAAAGCGUAGGCGAUGGCCAACAGGUUGAUAUUCCUGUACCACCUCCCCGCCGUUUGAGUAAUGGGGGGACGCAGUAGGAUAGGGUAAGCGCGCUGCUGGAUAUGCGCGUUCAAGCAGUUAGGCUGAUGAGUAGGCAAAUCCGCUCAUCAUAAAGGCUGAGCUGUGAUGACGAGGGAAUUAUAGUACCGAAGUUCCUGAUUCCACACUGCCAAGAAAAGCCUCUAGCGAGGCGGGAGGUGCCCGUACCGCAAACCGACACAGGUAGGCGAGGAGAGAAUCCUAAGGUGAUCGAGAGAACUCUCGUUAAGGAACUCGGCAAAAUGACCCCGUAACUUCGGGAGAAGGGGUGCUCUGGUAGGGUGUAUAGCCCGAGAGAGCCGCAGUGAAUAGGCCCAGGCGACUGUUUAGCAAAAACACAGGUCUCUGCGAAGCCGCAAGGCGAAGUAUAGGGGCUGACGCCUGCCCGGUGCUGGAAGGUUAAGAGGAGGGGUUAUCCUUUGGGAGAAGCUCUGAAUCGAAGCCCCAGUAAACGGCGGCCGUAACUAUAACGGUCCUAAGGUAGCGAAAUUCCUUGUCGGGUAAGUUCCGACCCGCACGAAAGGCGUAACGAUCUGGGCACUGUCUCAACGAGAGACUCGGUGAAAUUAUAGUACCUGUGAAGAUGCAGGUUACCCGCGACAGGACGGAAAGACCCCGUGGAGCUUUACUGUAGCCUGAUAUUGAAUUUUGGUACAGCUUGUACAGGAUAGGUAGGAGCCUGAGAAGCCGGAGCGCUAGCUUCGGUGGAGGCGUCGGUGGGAUACUACCCUGGCUGUAUUGAAAUUCUAACCCGCGGCCCUGAUCGGGCCGGGAGACAGUGUCAGGUGGGCAGUUUGACUGGGGCGGUCGCCUCCUAAAAUGUAACGGAGGCGCCCAAAGGUUCCCUCAGAAUGGUUGGAAAUCAUUCGUAGAGUGUAAAGGCACAAGGGAGCUUGACUGCGAGACCUACAAGUCGAGCAGGGACGAAAGUCGGGCUUAGUGAUCCGGUGGUUCCGCAUGGAAGGGCCAUCGCUCAACGGAUAAAAGCUACCCCGGGGAUAACAGGCUUAUCUCCCCCAAGAGUCCACAUCGACGGGGAGGUUUGGCACCUCGAUGUCGGCUCAUCGCAUCCUGGGGCUGUAGUCGGUCCCAAGGGUUGGGCUGUUCGCCCAUUAAAGCGGUACGCGAGCUGGGUUCAGAACGUCGUGAGACAGUUCGGUCCCUAUCCGUCGUGGGCGUAGGAAAUUUGAGAGGAGCUGUCCUUAGUACGAGAGGACCGGGAUGGACACACCGCUGGUGUACCAGUUGUCUUGCCAAAGGCAUCGCUGGGUAGCUAUGUGUGGACGGGAUAAGUGCUGAAAGCAUCUAAGCAUGAAGCCCCCCUCAAGAUGAGAUUUCCCAUAGCGCAAGCUAGUAAGAUCCCUGAAAGAUGAUCAGGUUGAUAGGUCAGAGGUGGAAGCGUGGCGACAUGUGUAGCUGACUGAUACUAAUCGAUCGAGGACUUAACCAAAA